rnacentral:lncRNA from 1 species
AUAAUAUUAGCACAAUCUUAAAAGCAAGUUGAUUAUAGUAAGGGGACUAAGAUGUGCCAUCAGAGGGGUUAAUCUUCUUCUUAUCAUUCUUGAAAGUGGACACCACAGUUUUACCUAUCUUUUCAAAAGCCAUUUUCUUCACUGAUUUCUUAUCUUUCUUUGGAAACACACUUCCAUUGUUUGAUGUGCCUACUUUGCCCUUUCCAUUAUUCUCCAUAUCUCUUCUCUUACAAAUAAAUAAUUAAUUAAAUAUGAGGGAGUAUAGUGUAUUAUUGUUUGUUGCUUUAACUUGUGAUGCUUUGAGGAGUUCAUGUGCUUAGGUAUUUAUAGGAGUUUAGGCUUUAUUUAUGGUAUUCUUCUUAAUGUUUUCAUGUAACUUCUUCAUCAAUUUCUAAGUUGGCUCAUGUAACAUUUUGAGAACAUUGUUGUUAUUUCGUGCAUGGAAUGUGUGAUUGUGUGUGUUUAUGUGUGUGUGUUUGUAAUUCAUAUUUAUUUAUAUCUCUAAGUCUUGUGUUAUUAAAAAGUGUGAGUUGCGCUAAUGGCCAUGAAACUAUUGAUUUAUAAUUAUAAUCUUAUAAUUGUGUGUGUGUGUUGUUUUGGAGUUCGUAUAUUUAUAUUUCUAAGUUUUGUGUUAUUAAAUUGUGCGAGUUCUUAUAGAUGUGGUAAUCACCCCAAUUUUAAUUAUAAUCUAAUUAUUUAAUACUCUUCUGCUUCAAUUUUAUGUGAAGGGGUUCAGAGUUAGUAUGAGGGUUAACAUAUUUGAUUUGAUUAUGAAUUCGAGUAAAGACUCUAUAAGUACUUUAAAAUAAAAUUUAUAAAUUUAAUAAUUACACGAAAAGUACUACAAAUCAACAUAGCUACUAGUUUGUGUGGGUGGGUGGAUUAAUUAGGAUGUCUCCUAUAACCUAUUUAAGCGUGUGGGCCAAAUCUCCUUAAAUUAUUAUUUUUUCAAUUCGUUUAUGUGUCCUGGUGUUAAAGAUGUGAAAUUUUUAAACAAAUUCUGAAAUAUAGAUUGAGAUUAGCUUUAGCAAAUUGCUGUUAGAUGGUAUGGUUAUCACUUGCUAUUGUUUAUCUUUAUUGAUUAGUUGGAAAUGAAGUAAAGAUUAUCUUAUGUUAGUGAUGAGGUUUUUUCUAGUGUUAUAAUAAAGGAGUAUUAGUAAUUUCAAUAGUUCUAAGUUGUUUAUCAUUCUUAUUUAGCCUUCAUUUACUUUUUGGACAUACUUGAGUAUCUGAGAAUUAAAUUGGUAUUCCGGUUAGCCUGAGAUAAUCGUUGUCUAUUGUAAAAUCAAGUACAUGUUUUAUAUUAUGCUCUGUAUAUUUCAUUUUUAAUUCAGUUAAUCAAACAUCUACAAAAAGAAGUAUAUAUAUAUACACUAUAAUCCCCACAUUAUAAUCCUGCGUAUAACUUAUUUUGCGAACCAAACAAACCCUUAGAAACCCUUAGAGUUGGAGGUCAAAAGUUCAGUCUUUCAAACAGUUGCCUUGCUAUGUGAAAUAGGAAGGCUAUUUGCCAAAUGGUUGUACUGCAGUUUGCACCAUCACUUAUAACUGGACAUCAACGUUCAGUAAGUUAACUAUAAGAGGGUGAACUAAAGUGAAGAGUUGAGUCUUGAAACUAGCCUCUUUGUAAUGUAGAAAGUAAGAAUAUACACAGCUGCUUGUCACACAUUUGUUGAGGAGGAAGGGGAUAUAAGUGGUCUUUCACUAAUACUUUUAUCUUAAAGAUGAACUUUAGCGCGAUGGUAAGUUGAGUGUGAAAUGACCUCAAUAUGAAGUAUAUUUUGCAAAAGCACAAUGGUAAAUCUACUGCAGAAAGUAAGUCUUAAUACAGUUGCUUGUAUAAUGGUAAGGUUGUACUACAUUUUGCAUUAAUACUAAUAGCUGAGGCUAAACACAAUGCUAACUUUAUUUUAUGGUGGCUCUGAAGUUGAAGAAAGUUUUAAAAAUAGCCUCCGCAUAGAAUAAAAAGUUAAGGCUAUGUACAGAUUUUUAGUACCAAAAGUUGCACUAACAAUUAAAGGUGAGAUUCAACACAUUGGUGAGUAAGUAUAUGUUGAGGUGAGAACCUUUUUUGGAGGUCUCCAACGUAUCCUAAAUGCUGAGGAAUAUAACAUUACAAGUUUCAAGAAAAAACGUAUAUGUUGAGGUGAGUGGAUGUCAGAAGUUCUCUUGUAGAUAGCCUGGUUGCGGUUCAGAGAGUGAGGCUAUGCACACAUGACCUCUUUUUCAAACCUCAAUAUCUAUCUUGCAAGGAUCCUUUUUACCUCUGGAUAAGGGUGUGAGACUCUUACCACGUUUGGUCAUUCAAACCCUCAUUGAGUCCUCGAGGAAUAUUUUUUUGGAUGAGUGAUUUCGAACACUUCAUUGAUUGUUGCUAUCAUUUCCAAAUUCCAACAGCAUGAUCCAGCAGCUGGGGUUAAGUCUCUCUUCUUUUCAUUUUUAUUUUUUUAUUUUUGAAGGAAGGGAAAUAUCGUGAAGCACUUGGGAAGUGGGAAUCUGCUCUGCUUUUGAUGCCAGAUCGUGCCAUUCUGCAUGAACAGAAGGCUCAAAUUUUGCUUGAACUUGGAGAGACAUGGAAGGCGCUACAAGCUGCUACUCGUAUGUUUUGAUACUCACAUUAAUUCGAAUGAAAUUCUCCUCAUUUCCUGAGCAAAUUAUGCUGAGAUAAUGUCAAUUCACAAACAUAUUUUACUUGGAUUUAUUUUCAAUGCUAUAUCUCAUUAAAGGUUAUGCACCUACUUUUAGGCUCUGAAGCUUCUUAGUGCCUACUUUUGACUCAUCUUUAAGGUUAUGGACAAAUCUGGCAAAUAUAUCAUUUCAAAUAUGAUCUUGAUAACAGCCAAAUGUGGGAACCUAGAGCAAGACUAAGUUUAUUUUUUACUUAUCUUUUCCUUGGCAUUGGAAGAUUUUUCUUUUCCACAUUCUUCCUGUUGUAAAUCUAUAUCUGGCAUAUAGAUAUUCAAAGAUGGAUUUUAGCCUACUUUCAUGGUCACUAAUGCCCUCUUGGCAUAUAGAUAUUCAAAGAUGGAUUUUAGCCUACUUUCAUGGUCACUAAUGUCCUCUUAAGUCAUUGAUCUGUGUUUGUGUAUAAAAUAACUUCAGAUGAUAUAUUUCAUGACUCAUAUGUAACCUGCUUCCUGUUUGAGCAGGUGCAACUGAGUUGGAACCAAGCUGGGGUGAGGUGUGUGUGAAACUGUUGAUCAUUCGGUUUUACUAUUGUUUCACCUGUUGUUAAUAUACCUGCUUUAGGCAUGUAAACGCAACUCUUAGUGCUCUGCAAUAAUUGGGAACCCUCACCAUCCUUGCUUAAUAUCAUGGGGGAUCCUGAUGAACAAUGUAACAUAUUUUUUAUCUGUGAUCUAUUCAGUUUCAAUACUUCUAAGACUAAUUUGUCAAACUUCAACUGGCUAUAAGUGUCAUGGGCUAGUUUUCAUGUGCAAAGUCCUCUGGAUUUCAGCCUUAAUUGUUCACCCCAAUGUGCAUGUUACUUCCUUUCUGUUCUACCUCUUCCUGCAUCUAUUCCCUAGACUAGGCAAAUUCAAUGCUUCUAUGUCUUCACUUGGUAAUAAAUUACUGGCUUUAGAGGUUAAGAUAGGUAAUUAGUGGUGUACCGACAAGCUACCUCAUGAUAGAAGCAGCUUUGCACUUUGAACUUCCUGGUCAUACUUGCGUGCAUAGUUAAGCUUAGAGAGCUUGAUGGAAUGAUCAAGCAAAAGGCACUCUCUUUUUCUAUUCCGUUUCCAUAAUCCAAACUAUUUACAGCUUUGGAAAAUGAAGCUUAGACUAAAAGGCAGUUGACUGCAAGCUUCUGGUUCUUAGGGAACGGUCAAUUUCUACUAUCACUAGAAUGUACACUACUUUAUUCCAGUGCUUAUUGCUAGUUCUUCUGUCUGUUGCAGGCGUGGGUCACCCUUGGUAGAGCACAGCUGAAUUAUGGUGAGCCUGACAGUGCUAUAGAAAGCUUAGACAGAGCACUAGCCAUCAAGGUAUAGAUUAAAUUUAUAACUAAUGCUCACGCUUGCUUCUUCUGAGGAUCUUUUUUAACUGAGAUGUUUCCUUUAUGAGUAAAUGGAUAUUCUUUGCUUUUAAUGUAUUACGCCAAUACCAAAGGUCAAUAUUACUACCUUUGUAUCUGGAGGACAAACUGUCUUUUGAGAUUUAAGCAAUUGUCUAACUCUAUUCAUCUUGCUUCUAUCACAUCCUAGUUCUGAAAUGUUCAGUGGAAUAUUGUGCUAAGUGUGUCAGAUUGAUUGCCUUUGUAAUUGAUGCUCACGUGUUCAGUAAACCACUUACGCACCAUAAAUCGGAUUUGUUUUGCAGCCAGACUCUGCUGAGGCUCGUAAUGAUCGACAAGCUGCCUUGCAUCAUAUUUCAGAGGAGUAAAAACAGUUACAGUACAUUCAGGUUUGAGCAUGAACCAACACCGUUUUUCUGUAGGGGACCAAACUGAGAGCACUUGAAGGUUUGAAAACGUAGGGUUAAUCUCAUUACCGAUGAUGCUUUGUUCCGAUAAAAUCCUGAGGCUAGGGAAUAUCUUCUGUCACAUUUGACUUCGAGUCAAGGUUUCAAAAUGCUGGUUCAGCUAUAGAAAGAGGUGUAGGUGUGCAUAUCAGUGAGGAGAGAAAAUAGCCAGAAGGGUUGACAAUGAUGAAACAUGAUGCCUGGGCACUGAAAUGUCUACUUGUAAUAUAGAUGAUCCUCUAUGGCCUCUAACAUUGAGUUACUUCAUACUUAUGUUUGUUUGAUUAUUCUGAUUAGUAAUAUAUAUAUAUAUAUAUAUAUACACACACGUCCUGGUGUGCAAAUCAAGUGAAUGACGUUUUUUACGUUCAAAAAGUGCAUCUGAUUUGUCUUUUUACCUUAGAGGUGAACGAUCAAAGGUGUAAAAUAUGCUUUUUAAAUGGAGCAGUCUGAAUGCUUGUUCAGUUUAUAAAAUCAAUGUCAUGUUGUGUCUAUUUUACCAUUGCUAUUAAAUAUUGUAUUUAUUUUUCAAUGUUUAGAUAACUUAUAUUUAAUAAGGGUGAUUUGAUAAAAUUACCCUAUCAUUUACUGCUUUUUAAUCUCUGUGCUAAGUUAAUAUAGUGGACAACUAUUGUUGAACACAUAGGGUGUGCGUAUAUAUGUGUGUUUUUGAUUGGAUGGGAAUGGGUUUGUGUGGGUUUGUGUGUGAAUGAGUGAAUUAAUUUUGGUUUUUUCUAUUUAUUAAUUUCAAUUAACGACCUAUGAAAUUGUUAUAUAUAUAUAUAUAUACAUUUCUUGGAAAUGAAGUACUCCAUAUUACUCAUGAUAUUAGCUUAAAAUUUAAAAAAUUAAAUUUAACCACUACUAAGGAUUUGGAAGGGGAAUUCAUUAUAUUUAAGUUUUAUUAACUUUCAAACUUAUUAAUUUUAUAGAAUUAAUCAAAUGGUAAAUUAAUUUUACUUUUCUGCGUCAUUUCAGUUUUCACUAUCUUCAUUUUCAUAUAUAAUUUUUUUAUAUUUUUUGAGGGGGAAAUGUGUCCCUAUAAUAAUUUUACAUGAAAAAUAUCUUAGAGCUCAAAUCAGCUAGAUAUAUUUAAAAGAUUUAUUAAUGGCACAAAAGAAAUUCAUGUCAAUAAUAUUAGAUUUAAUUAUUCAGAAAUUUGAGGAUAAGCACUAAAAUUGUUGAUUCAACUUCAACUUUUCAUGUCUAUACAUUAAAUUGCUUGAAUACGUAUAUGGCAUCAUUAAUUGAAAAUGUAUCCAUUCAACACACGUUGUUUCCAUGGCUCACAUCUCUUUUUGAGAGAGUGAAAUAAAAAAAAUAUUUAUUUUUCUAAAUUUAUAUUUUGUAUACCACGUCCGAUAAAUUUUCCUCUCCGCUUUACCUCGCAUGACAAUUUUUUUUAAUUUUCAAUCCGACCCACCUUACCCCGCAUAAUUGUUUCAAUAUUUUUCCUUUUUGAUUAAGUUUGACACAAAAAAUAAAAUUCAUAAAAAUAAAUUUAUUACUCUCAUUAAGUUGUAUUAACUUAAUAAAUAGUGACUUGAUUUUUUUUAGAGGUCAAUUAAAAAGCAUGUAAGAAACUGUAUUAGUUUUGAUUGAACUAUUUUCAUUUAAUAUCUUCAAUAUUUUACUUAGGAGAAAAUAGCCAAAUACCCCCUUAAUCUAUUACCAGAUUACCAACUACACACUUAUACUUCACGAGAACCACUUUCCUUUUUAGUCAGUCUCAAAAAGAAUAACACAUUUUCUAUAUUAAGUAACAAUUUAACUAUAAAAUGUCUAUUUUACCCUUAAUGAAAUGAUUUACAGCUACACAAAUUUCUAUCAUUCAUUUUGGACCACAAGUUUUAAAAGUCUUCCUUUCUUUCUUAAACUCUGUGCUGAGUCAAACUACCUCACAUAAAAUGGGACGGAGGGAGUAAUGAAUUUGUCAUUUUGUGUAUUCUUACUUGUGAAAGGUGCUCUAUCACUCUUAUAACAUGUAAAAAGUUUAAAUUAAGUUUGAACCCGUAUAAAACCGCAUAGACCCGCAACUUGCCCCGUAUUAAUUUAAAAAAAAUUAUUUCAACAUGUCCCGCACAACCUUAAAAUCACCUCACCCCACAUUCGCCCCGUUGUCGUCCCCGCAGAAAAGGUGAAAGUUCAAAUAGGAAAUCAACUUAGCUACUAAAAUUCUCCAAAAUUUGAGUGCUCCACGUUAGUUGUUGUUUUUAAAAAAAAGAAGAAGUUAACAACGCAAUAACACGAUUUAAAGAGUAAAAAUAAUAACCAAAAACGGGGACUAAUAUUACAACAUACAACGUCUUGAAGGAUAAUUAACAAAGGAAAUAUCACCCUCACAAAAAUAACAUAAUAGUACUACACAAUAAUUUAUUAAUGAGUUUAACUUAUNNNNNNNNNNNNNNNNNNNNNNNNNNNNNNNNNNNNNNNNNNNNNNNNNNNNNNNNNNNNNNNNNNNNNNNNNNNNNNNNNNNNNNNNNNNNNNNNNNNNNNNNNNNNNNNNNNNNNNNNNNNNNNNNNNNNNNNNNNNNNNNNNNNNNNNNNNNNNNNNNNNNNNNNNNNNNNNNNNNNNNNNNNNNNNNNNNNNNNNNNNNNNNNNNNNNNNNNNNNNNNNNNNNNNNNNNNNNNNNNNNNNNNNNNNNNNNNNNNNNNNNNNNNNNNNNNNNNNNNNNNNNNNNNNNNNNNNNNNNNNNNNNNNUCUGGUUGAAUUUCUAUGUAAUUAGCUUAUGUAUAAUGUGUGAGUGUGGGUAUAAUGUGUGAGUGUGGGUUUUUGGAUAUUUUUAUCUAAGGCUAACAAAGAGAGAAUGAAAAUUUGAAGUAAAAAAAAUAAAUAUAGUUGAAUGAUUUUGUUGUCCAAAUAAAAAGACCAUCCAAGAAAUUAACUCUUGUUUGUGUAGUUGAGCCAAGGAAACUACCUAUUAAUUUUUCAAGUUAAAUAAUUACCAAAAACUAAUUUUUAUUUUAUUUUUUUCUUGAAAUGGAAUGUGUGUUUUGUGUGGUUUUGGUUUGUUCAUUUUAAUAUUUGUGAAGUCAUAUGUGUAGAUGAGCCAGUAAAGUAGGAAUUUAGUUUUUUCAUGCGAACUUAAAUUGUUGAAAAUGUCGUCUGUGUGUUGGAAGGGUAAUGGAUUUGUGUGGGUUUGUAAAUUAAUUAUGAUGACUACUAUAUUAAAAAAAAUAAAAAAUCAUGUGAUUGUCAUACAUUUCUAGGAAAUGCUCAAGUACUCCGUAAUACUUAUGAGUUAUGAUAAUAGUUUAUUUCAAAAAAAUACUUAACCAAUCAAAAAAAAAAUUAUUUUACUUUUCCAUGUAAUUUUACUAUCUUCAUUACCAGAAAUUCUAUACUAUUUUUUUCUUGUAAAGGAAGUAUGUCUAUCAUAAUCUUACAUGAAAAAAAGUUAUUAUUUCUACUAUCAAAAUUUAUAAACAGAAAUGAAAAUAAUCAAAGAAAAAUAAAGUUUCAAGCCUACAGAAUAUUGUAUUUUCUUAAAGAAUUUAAUUUCUUUAUACUUGUCCAAGAUUUGGAAUAAUAUCUUCCAAAAUAAAAUAAAACACUAUUUAGCAAUACUGGUAAUUGAUAUUGUAGAACUUCAGUGAAAUUCAAAAAACGAAGUAAAUCAUAUAACACUUACUGUUUUUACUUGAAAAACUUAUGCAAAUAAAAAAGAAAGAAAUAUAAGAAUUCUUUCUGCUUUUAGUAAUAAGAAAAUUUUGUUUUUCAAUGUGUCAAAUAAGGCGAAGUCAUAGCCAUCGACAAAUGCGAAGGUGACGUUGGAAAGGGAGGUAAUUUUGAAUCGUCUCUCUUUAAAUAGCUAAAAGAAGUAUUUCUAUUUAAAAGCACAAAAAAUCUCUUCUUCAGUACCACCGAUAAAGAAGAAAUGAACUUUAUUUUCCUCUUAACUUAUUUUCUUCAAUUUCUCAAUUCACAUUAUAACUCAUCUUUCGACAGUUAACUAGCUUGUUUUAAAAAAUGUUACUCAUCUUUCGACGGUUAACUAGCUUGUUUUAAAAAAUGUGUGCUAGCUUGAUGUCCCCUGAAUUUUGUUACUACUUACUAUAUUGAUAAUUUUCAUUGCUAUUUUAUAUAUUGAUUUCUUAAUAUUGCGUUGUUGCGUAUGAAAUACAAAUAUCGAUAAGAUAACCAAAAAAAUUUUAGCGUGUGUAAGUGUUUCCUUUGGCAUUAUAGAAUGUGAUUUCAUUAUUUACCUUAAAUUUUCACCCUAUUUGAAAAUAAAAAUGUUAGUAGUCCACUUUAGUUUAACAUUAAAUAAAAUGAACAACGGUGUAACAUUAUUGGGGAGGAAAAUUAAAUAAAUGAAAAUGGAGACUCUAUAACAACAUACAACGUCCUUAGCUUGUAGGCUAAUUAACAUCACAAAAAUAACAUAAUACUAAACAAUAAUUUAUUGAUGAAUUUAGCUUACAUGCAUCAACAAUAUCGUAUGUAAGGAAUCAGGUAAAUCAUGUAAACAUUCUUUACAAUAUUGUCAAUGUAUAUAAUUUAAACUAUCGGAUACAUAUGAAUUACAUAAAUACUUUAUUCAAUAAUAUUACCACAAUCCAAAACAAAAACAAGUUCAUUGGGACUAAGAGGAGGUGCCAUCAGAGGGGUUAAUCUUUUUCUUAUCAUUCUUGAAAAGUGGACACCACAGUUUUGCCUAUCUUUUCAAUAGCCAUUGCCUUCACUGAUUUCUUGUCUUUCUUUGGAAACACACUUCCAUUCUUUGAUGUGCCUUCUUUGCCCUUUCCAUUAUUCUCCAUAUCUUUGUUGAUAAUAUAUAUAUAAGUAAGUAAAUAAAACUGUAUCGUUCUUUGUAACAACUUAAAUUUUUAGAUGAAAUGAUCACACAGUACUUCAACAAUCUCUUCUCUUAGAACUUAUGAAUAUGAG